rnacentral:rRNA from 1 species
UACACAUGCAAGUCGAACGGCAGCACGGACUUCGGUCUGGUGGCGAGUGGCGAACGGGUGAGUAAUACAUCGGAACGUGUCCUGGAGUGGGGGAUAGCCCGGCGAAAGCCGGAUUAAUACCGCAUACGCUCUNUGGAGGAAAGCGGGGGAUCUUCGGACCUCGCGCUCAAGGGGCGGCCGAUGGCAGAUUAGCUAGUUGGUGGGGUAAAGGCCUACCAAGGCGACGAUCUGUAGCUGGUCUGAGAGGACGACCAGCCACACUGGGACUGAGACACGGCCCAGACUCCUACGGGAGGCAGCAGUGGGGAAUUUUGGACAAUGGGCGCAAGCCUGAUCCAGCAAUGCCGCGUGUGUGAAGAAGGCCUUCGGGUUGUAAAGCACUUUUGUCCGGAAAGAAAACCUCGUGGUUAAUCCCGUGGGGGAUGACGGUACCGGAAGAAUAAGCACCGGCU